CUACACCAUGGCAGAGAAAUGCGAUGGUCAACUCAAAGGAAUGGUUCAAGACCUGAAGGAAGUCAUUGACUACCUAAAUUCUACGAACGCCAAUCACCAGCAAGAAGACAAUCCGGUAUGUUCACUACAGUAUAGUAGGGGGUGGUGUGGUGUGGGAGGUAAUCCAGAGUUGCAAAAAAUGUUCAACCUUCUUCAGGGUAAAUUUAAAGUUUUCAAACCAUCUUCAAAGCAAUUUGAAUAGACCCAUUGCACAUGACGUCACAGCGCCGGUG
rnacentral:lncRNA from 1 species